UAGAGGUCUUUCCUGAUGGUCUUGAA
rnacentral:piRNA from 1 species